rfam:Myotis lucifugus cont2.44597, whole genome shotgun sequence.
GGUGGUUCUCGGGUGGUGCACCCUGGAAUCAGGCUCCCUCCUCUCUGGUUCCCCACCCGAGAAGCGCA